GACGAACCGUGCGAACGUUGUUCGGAAUCACUGGGCUUAAAGGGCGCGUAGGCGGCUUGCCAAGUCCGGGGUGAAAUCCUGCAGCUUAACUGUAGAAGAGCCUUGGAUACUGGCGAGCUCGAGGGAGGUAGGGGUGCGUGGAACUUCUGGUGGAGCGGUGAAAUGCGUUGAUAUCAGAAGGAACGCCGGGGGCGAAAGCGACGCACUGGAUCUCUUCUGACGCUGAGGCGCGAAAGCUAGGGGAGCAAACGGG
rnacentral:rRNA from 1 species